UGUCUGCCAUUAAAGCUCACUUUUAAAGUCCCACGUGCUGCCAGGGAAAGUACAAAGGCAGGAGGACACAAGCUGCAGGCACAGGUCGCCCGUGGGAUCCCGCCAAGGCCGGGGAAUACAGACAAACCAAAUGGAAUGCCACAGCCUAGGGCAGCCCUAGGGCAGCGGGCUCCAAGCUGUUUCCAUCACCAUGGUAACCGCCCAAGCCUGGCCUCACAGCGGGCUUCCUGGUCCCGCCUCCUGCAUUUCAACAGGCUUCUCAUUGGUCCUUCCAACUGUCACUCAGACAGGACUUCUGGUCCCACCUUCCAGCCACUAACCUGUACUUCCUGUUUCAGACCUGCUACCCAGAUAAAUGCCCAGAACCUGCAUUUUUAAGAACACCCACCUGAGCCAUCACAGAACCCAAAGAAAAAGGUCUCAGUGUCUCUUGUGUGGUUAUUUCGUGCAGCUCAGUUCCCCUGGAGUGACCCUGAGUGUUUUCGUGUGAGGAAGCGGCAGCCAGUGAUGCAGACAGGGUCCCUGUCCAGCUUUCUGAUUCUUCGAGCUGUCUGUAGUGCGAGCCUCACCCAGACCAAGGCGGCCCCCCUUCACUUUGAAACCAUCCAAAACAGGGGGCUGGCAGGACACUUCUCCUUACUUUUCUGGCCAGGGGUGGGCAGGAGAGUUUCAAAUUUCAAAUCCCCCUCCCAGGGAGCACUUGGGAGGCUGUUGGCCUGGCCCUUCUGCCGGAGGAAGAGCCCACUCCAACCCCAAGCCCUUCGUGGCUAUCCUGACCAAGGGGACCUGGUCUCUAGCAGGGCUUCCCCAUCCCUCUGUGGUCUCCCCUUCCUGAUCAGGGUCUUGAUGGAAGCCAGAGCCCCAACCUGCAUUCACUCAGGCAGCCAGGAGGGAGAUCUGGGGCAACGUUGGGACUAGUUUGCUCAUUACGUUUCCUGAUCUAGGUCUCAGGUGCUGAUGAAAAGUGGGCCUGGGGGUUAGUCAUGCUGGGAUUGUCACUCUCUUGAAAGUGCCUCUGUGUAGAGCCCUCCAUCACCUUUGCAACCCAGGGAGCCUGGGACACUGUCCCCAGUCACAGACCUUCAUGUCCCCUCCCCCUUGCAAGAACAGCCUCCAGAACCCAGCCUCUUCAUGGGCAGAAGAUGUGGCGUGUCUGUCAUCUUGUCAUUGCCUCCCCUCCCAUUGUCCUCGUGGCACCCCACUCUUCUGUGCAGACACCAGGCCCUUCUUCAGGCCCCAAAGUAGCUUGUGAUUGAAGUUGACCCUGGAAUGUUCAUUUUGGUCAGAAUGUGAAAGAUGCUUCCAUAUCCACUCUCCACGGAGGCCCUGAGGGCAGGAGGAUCAUGAGGUCAGAGCCAGGCUCAGCAAAGACAGGUGCCAAGCUACUCAGGGAGACCCUGUCUCUAAAUAGAAGACAAAAUAGGGCUGGGAGGGGGCUCAGUGGUUGAGUGCCCCUGGGUUCAAUCCCUGGUACCCCAGCUCUCCAAAAAACGGCCCCCUGUUCCUGCUGAUGAGAAGAACCAUGGCCUCUGAGACAGAAUAUCACAUGCUUCUCCUUUACUAAUAAAGCAAUAAAACAUUUUUUCCCCCAAA